rnacentral:rRNA from 1 species
AACGAACGCUGGCGGCAUGCCUAACACAUGCAAGUCGAACGAGACCUUCGGGUCUAGUGGCGCACUGGUGCGUAACGCGUGGGAACCUGCCCUUAGGUUCGGAAGAACUCCCCGAAAGGGGUGCUAAUACCGGAUAAUGUCUUCGGACCAAAGAGUUAUCGCCUUUGGAUGGGCCCGCGUUGGAUUAGCUAGUUGGUAGGGUAAAAGCCUACCAAGGCGGCGAUCCAUAGCUGGUCUGGGAGGAUGAUCAGCCACACUGGGGCUGAGACACGUCCCAGACUUUGACGGAAGGGAGAAGUGGGGAAUAUUGGACAAUGGGCGAAUGCAUGAUCUAGCAAGGCCGCGUGAGUGAUGAAGGCGUUAGGGUUGUAAAGAUCUUUUAACCGGGAUGAUAAUGACAGUCCCGGGAGAAAAAGCCCGGGCAACUUCCGG